rnacentral:rRNA from 1 species
AAGGAAGGCAGCAGGCACGCAACUUACCCAUUCCCGACACGGGGAGGUAGUGACGAAAAAUACCAAUACGGGACUCUGUCGAGGCUCCGGCAUUGGAAUGAGUAUACUUUAAAUCCUUUGCCAAGGAUCAAUUGGAGGGCAAGCCUGGUGCCAGCAGCCGCGGUAAUUCCAGCUCCGAUGGCAUAUAUUAAAGUUGCUGUAGUUAAAAGGCUCGUAGUUGGAUCUCAGCCGCAGAAACGAGGUGCACUUGACGGUGCAUCCUUGUGACUGUACUACAGCAGCCGUGUGCGCCGAGGUGGUCUUCACUGACCGCUUACGGUGUCCUGGCGUCGUUUACUUUGAAAAAAAUAGAGUGUUCACGGCGGUCCAUUCCUAUGGUCGCAUAAAGUUGCAUGGAAUAAUGAAAGAUGACCUCGGCUCAUUUUGUUGGCUUCGAUGAGUCCGAGGUAAUGACUAAUAAGAGCGGCCGGGGGCAUUCGUAUUACGACGGGAGAGGUGAAAUUCUACGAUCGUCGUAAGACGGACGGCAGCGAAAGCGUUUGUCAAGUGCGUUUUCAUUAGUCAGGAACGAAAGUUAGAGGCUCGAAGACGAUCAGAUACCGUCGUAGUUCUGACCGUAAACGAUGCCAGAUGACAAUCUGUCGAAGUUAGAUCCGCAUGACUCGGCAGGCAGCCACCUCGGGAAACCAAAACUUUUGGGCUCUAGGGGAAGUAUGGUUGCAAAACUGAAACUUAAAGGAAUUGACGGAAGGGCACCACCAGGAGUGGAGCCUGUGGCUUAAUUUGACUCAACACUGGGCAACUCACCCGGUCCGAACAGUUGCGAGGAUUGACAGAUUGAUAGCUCUUUCUCGAUUCAGUGGAUGGUGGUGCAUGGCCGUUCUUAGUUCGUGGAACGAUUUGUCUGGUUAAUUCCGAUAACGAACGAGACUCUAGCCUAUUAAAUAGUUGUGCGAUACUUCGGUAGUCGGCAAAAUACAACUUCUUAGAGGGACAUGUGGCUUAUAGCCACACGAGAAUGAGCAAUAACAGGUCUGUGAUGCCCUUAGAUGUUCGGGGCCGCACGCGGGCUACAAUGUUUGUAUCAGCGUGUAUACAUCCUGAGUCGAAAUGCUUGGGCAAGCCCAUGAACUGCGAAUUCAGUCGGGAUUGGGGCCUGUAACGGUGCCUCAUGAACGUGGAAUUCCAAGUAAGCAGGAGUCAACAGCUUCUGUUGACAGAGUCCCUGCCCUUUGUACACACCGCCCGUCGCUACUACCGAUGAACGGUUUGGUGAGAUCUCUGGAUUUGCCAGUGGGGCCUUGUGCUCCGCGUGCUGGUGAAGAAGUUGGUCGAACUUGGUCGUUUAGAGGAAGUAAAAGUCGUAACAAGGUUUUC